AGGCCUGACCCAGAUAUCAGUGCUCCAUGGGAAUGCUGCAAAGACCCGGGGCUCUGAAAAGAUGGCCAUGCUAAUUCCUCUGUUGGUGUUUACCCAAGACAUGAAGACCAGAACAGGAAGAGACACUCGUGGGCUAUUCAUAAUCAACCAACUCAAUCCAUGAAUGGCAAAGUUGAUGGUGAUAAUUUUCCCUCAGAAACUGUCCCUCAGAAUGAAAAGUAGCCCAUGAUGAAUGUGGCCUAAGCACAUCUCAGAAGCACAAUGCCAAGGGAAAGAAACUCCUUAAAUGACAUCGUGGGGUUGGCAGGAGAAUAGAAACAGAAAUCAGACCCGCGGUUGUCAGAGAUGGAAACACAGAAUGGGAUUUGUUUGCAAAGCGUCUCAAAGAACUUUGUGGAAAGAACAGCCAUGGUCUAAGCUGUAAUACUGGUCAAAGCUUGUUUCAUGGUACUCAAAGAAGAUGAACUUAAGGAUUUAAAUACUUCUCAGUAAGCUUGAGUUAAAAGGGGUGUGAAGUCCUCAAAUAAUUAAACAUAGACUUGGAUGAUUCAGCCCACUUCUAGGCACAUAACAGAGAGGAUGGAAAGCAGGUCUGUAUGCCAAAUGCGCAUGACACAGUUCUCACGGGCACUAAAAGGUUGGGCCCAGCCCAGAAGGCACCGAUCAACAGGUGCAUGGAUACAGCAAAUGUGACAGGUAUACGUGGAAUAUUACUUAACCCUGAAAUGAGAGAAACUCCCGAUGCACACUAUAGCAUGUAUGUCUCCUGAGGACGUUGUGUUGAGAGAAGUAAAGCCAAUUAGAAAAGGGC
rnacentral:lncRNA from 1 species